rnacentral:rRNA from 1 species
GACGAACGCUGGCGGCGUGCUUAACACAUGCAAGUCGAACGCUGAAGCUCAGCUUUUGUUGGGUGGAUGAGUGGCGAACGGGUGAGUAACACGUGAGUAACCUGCCUCCUUCUUUGGGAUAACGCCCGGAGACGGGUGCUAAUACUGGAUAUUCACUGGUCUUCGCAUGGGGGUUGGUUGAAAGGGUUUUUCUGGUGGGGGAUGGGCUCGCGGCCUAUCAGCUUGUUGGUGGGGUGAUGGCCUACCAAGGCUUUGACGGGUAGCCGGCCUGAGAGGGUGACCGGUCACAUUGGGACUGAGAUACGGCCCAGACUCCUACGGGAGGCAGCAGUGGGGAAUAUUGCACAAUGGGCGCAAGCCUGAUGCAGCGACGCCGCGUGAGGGAUGGAGGCCUUCGGGUUGUGAACCUCUUUCGCUCAUGGUCAAGCCGCAACAAUGGUUGUGGUGAGGGUAGUGGGUAAAGAAGCGCCGGCUAACUACGUG